UACGUAGGGUGCGAGCGUUGUCCGGAAUUAUUGGGCGUAAAGGGCUCGUAGGCGGUUUGUCACGUCGGGAGUGAAAUCAUCUGGCUUAACUGGGUGCUUGCUUUCGAUACGGGCAGACUAGAGGUAUGCAGGGGAGAACGGAAUUCCUGGUGUAGCGGUGAAAUGCGCAGAUAUCAGGAGGAACACCGAUGGCGAAGGCAGGUCUCUGGGCAUUAACUGACGCUGAGGAGCGAAAGCAUGGGGAGCGAACAGG
rnacentral:rRNA from 1 species